rnacentral:rRNA from 1 species
UACGAAGGGGGCUAGCGUUGUUCGGAAUUACUGGGCGUAAAGCGCGCGCAGGCGGUCUUCCAAGUCAGUGGUGAAAGCCUGGAGCUCAACUCCAGAACUGCCAUUGAAACUGUUAGACUUGAGUACGAGAGAGGUGAGUGGAAUUCCCAGUGUAGAGGUGAAAUUCGUAGAUAUUGGGAAGAACACCAGUGGCGAAGGCGGCUCACUGGACCACAACUGACGCUGAUGCGCGAAAGCUAGGGGAGCGAACAGG